GCUUGCGUAGCUCAAUCGGUAGAGCGUGAGACUCUUAAUCUCAAGGUUGCGGGUAAGUUCAUCAUCCACCGCAAGGU
rnacentral:tRNA from 1 species